AUCGGUUUUUCGGUUUGGAUCGGUUUUGGUUUUGGAAAACCGAAAAAACCGAAAAAAACCAAAAAACCCGAAAUUUUAAGCUGGACCAGGCGACCAGCCCAACCCACUUAAUAUCUUUUGAUUUUUGAAUCCUAAAUUACUACCUCCUAAACUAAACCAGUAAACCCUAACUCCUCUAGUCCUCUCAUAUCGUCUACCUGACGGCGCGACCCUGCGACAGAUCCCCCACGCGGUAGCGGUACGCCGGCACGCGACACGCAGAAACUCUCCUCCUUCUCUCUCCUCUCGCCGGUUGCGCACGCCAUUUCCUCUUUCUCUCUCUCCUCUCACCGGUUGGAGUGUUGAACUUGAAGAGGUUCAAGAAGAUUUCAGAUCAGAGGCAGAAACAUGACGAAGAAGGGUCAGGAAAAAUCCAUUGAAACAAAUGCAGAUUUCUUGCCGUUAGAAGGCGGUCCGGCUCGUAAGCUGCCUAAGGGAGAUGUUUCACAUGACAAAGCGACGGUGUUGUACGUUGGUAGGAUUCCACACGGGUUCUACGAGGAGAAAUGGAAGGU